UACUAAAGGGCACUCUAAGGAGACUGCCGGUGACAAACCGGAGGAAGAUGGGGAUUACGUCAGGUCCUCAUGGCCCUUAUGGGUAGGGCUACACACGUCAUACAAUGGCCGGUACAGAGGGUUGCCAACCCGCGAGGGGGAGCCAAUCCCAGAAAACCGGUCGUAGUCCGGAUCGCAGUCUGCAACUCGACUGCGUGAAGUCGGAAUCGCUAGUAAUCGCGGAUCAGCUUGCCGCGGUGAAUACGUUCCCGGGUCUUGUACACACCGCCCGUCACACCAUGGGAGCGGGUUCUGCCAGAAGUAGUUAGCCUAACC
rnacentral:rRNA from 1 species